GGCAUCUGCACUCAAUGUUUUCAGAAAGUAUAGAUGUCAUGAGGUAGGAGAGAGAUCUUGGAGGAGUGAAUGCAUAAGAGGGGGGGUGUUUACCUGUGUUUUUUCUGCAUCUCCAGCCAGAUUUGUGUCCCAGAUCAUGGAGGAAUUGCCCUCUCUGGUGUGGACCCAUAAGUGGAUUUACAUUGUAAUUCCUACUGGAUUUACAGUGUUUUUCUUAGUGGAUAUCCAGUGUAAUUCCAAGUGGAUUUACACUGUAAUUACUACUGGAUUUACAGUGUUUUUCCUAGUGGGUUUCCACUGUAAUUCUAAGUGGAUUUACAUUGUAAUUCCUACUGGAUUUACAAUGUUUUUCUUAGUGGAUUUACACUGAAAUGCUUAGUGUAAUUAUUUAGUACAAAUUAUUUGGAUUGGAAGUGUAUUUUUAGCGGUAUUUACAGUGUAAUUUUAGUGGAUUUUACAUUGUAAUUCUUAGUGCACAUAAAGAUUUUCUAUAGUGCAUUUUUCAGUGGAUAUUACACUGAAAUUCUUUAGUUGAA